UUUCUGAGAGUGGAAACCCUGGCUGCCCCCCUGCAUCACUAUAAGCAAGUGACAUGGUUGAGACCCCUGGGUUAGGACGGUGGCUAUGACAACACUGAAACCCACAGCAGUCAUUCCGUUUCCUUUCCUUAUCAUCUUCAUCACAAAUGGGAGGACCUGAGCCCUAGGACCAUGCCUCAGGACUACCUGGCCUGAUGACUCCUUGCUGUCCUCAGUCCACCUGGCCGUGCUGCUGCUCCAGUUUCAACUGUUAUGCCUGCAUCUAUGCAACCCUGACCUGUUCACCAGACAUGCUACAUGUCCCAGACCUGCUGUUUUCAACUCUCUAGAGACAGCAGGAGCGGUAGAGAUACUCUGAAUGAUCGGCUAUGAAAAGCCGAAUGACAUUUACUCCUGAGAUGCUGACAUGUUGCACCCUCGACAACCACUGUGAUUAUUAUUAUUUGACCCUGCUGGUCAUCUAUGAACAUUUGAACAUCUUGGCCAUGUUCUGCUAUAAUCUCCAUCCGGCACAGCCAGAAGAGGACUGGCCACCCCUCAUAGUCUGGUUCCUCUCUAGGUUUCUACCUAGGUUCUGGCCUUUCUAGGGAGUUUUUCCUAGCCACUGUGCUUCUACACCUGUAUUGCUUGCUGUUUGGGGUUUUAGGCUGGGUUUCUGUACAGCACUUUGAGAUAUCAGCUGAUGUAAGAAGGGCUUUAUAAAUACAUUUGAUUUGAUGGUGGCGGUGGGGUUAUGGAAUGGGCAGGCAUAAACUACGGACAACAAACACAAUUGCAUUUUAUCGAUGGCAAUUUGAAUGCACAGAGAUACCGUGAUGAGAUCCUGAGACCAUUGUCGUGCCAUUCAUCCGCCACCACCCCUCAUGUUUCAGCAUGAUGAUGCACGGCCCCAUGUUGCAAGGAUCUGUACACAAUUCCUGGAAGCUGAACAUGUCCCAGUUCUUCUAUGGCCUGCAUACUCACCAGACAUGUCAUCCAUUGAACCUGUUUGGAAUGCUCUGGAUCGACACGUAUGACAGCGUGUUCCAGUUCCCGCCAAUAUCCAGGAACUUCGCACAGCCAUCUCAGAGGAGUGGGACAACAUUCCACAGGCCACAAUCAACAGCCUGAUCAACUCUAUGCAAAGGUGUGUCGCGCUGCAUGAGUGGUCACAUCAGAUACUGACUGGUUUUCUGAUCCAUGCCCCUACUUAUUUGGGGCGGUAUCUGUGACCAACAGAUACAUAUCUGUAUUCCCAGUCAUAUGAAAUCCAUAGGCAUAAUUCAUUUAUUUCAAUAGACUGCUCUUUGAAAUGGUUACAUGCUGGGUUUAUAUUUUUGCUCAGUAUAGUGAGGUUCAUUUGAUGUUUAUAUUUUUGCUCAGUAUAGUGAGGUUCAUUUGAUGUUUAUAUUUUUGCUCAGUAUAGUGAGGUUCAUUUGAUGUUUAUAUUUUUCCUCAGUAUAUGUAACGGUCGUCGUAGUAAUUGGACCAAGGUGCAGCGGGUUGAGUGCUCAUCUUAACUUUUAUUGUGAACACGACUAAUAAACAAAACAAUAAACGAACGAACAGUCUUGUAGGCUCACACAGCAGUACAAAGAACAACCUCCCACCAUUCCCAAAACAAACAUACUC
rnacentral:lncRNA from 1 species